GAUGAACGCUAGCGGCAGGCCUAAUACAUGCAAGCCGAACGGCAAGUUUGAUAGCAAUAUUGGACCUAGAGUGGCGCAAGGGUGCGUAACACGUAUGCAACCUGCCCGCGACAGGAGGAUAGCUCCCCGAAAGGGGAAUUAACCCUCCAUAACACCAUGAGAAGGCAUCUGAUUAUGGUUAAACCGCAAGGGGUCGCGGAUGGGCAUGCGGUUGAUUAGCUAGUUGGCGGGGUAAAGGCCCACCAAGGCGGUGAUCAAUAGGGGUUCUGAGAGGAAGGUCCCCGACACUGGCACUGAGAUCCGGGCCAGACGCCUACGGGAGGCAGCAGUAGGGAAUAUAGGACAAUGGUUGCAAGACUGAACCAGCCAUGCCGCGUGCAGGAAGAAGGCCUUCUGGGUCGUAAACUGCUUUUACCUGUGGAUAAAAUACCCGUGCGCGGGGAAUUGAAGGUAACAGGGGAAUAAGCCACGGCUAACUACGUG
rnacentral:rRNA from 1 species